UGGUGCCCGGUUGACUGCCUCCAGCCCUGCUUAAAGCUCAUCCCCGACGCACCUCGAGGGAGAAAGCCCCCAGUUUCCUUAGGUGUCCCCACACCUCGAGAACUGCCCUACAGCUGGCUAAAGUCUAUAUUUGGCAUUCGUAAAAGAAAACAUCAAGAAAAAUGUUUUUCACAUGGCGGUCACCAUAUUACUACAACCAAAGCAGGGUCUGCAGCUUUGCCGACAGAAGAAAAUGAUAGGGUUGAUAUAAAAUGGGUUCUGUUUUCCUUAAACUUCACAGCAGCAAAUUUAAAGCUCUCCGCUGAAAAUAUUUGUAGAUUUGAUUAUAGGAUAUUAGAAUUAGGGGAGUCACUUAGAAUUUUUAGUCCUUUUUCAAAUCUUUGGAAACAAAGUUAAUUGUUCAAAAUCACAGAAUCUAAUAGAUUUUAAGAUCACGUCUAUUCCACUAUUAACUACGUUAGACUAAUCAUAUGUAAUAAUUCAUAUGUAAUAUUUCAUAGAAAAUGAGGUUUUCAAAGUAAAGGAAGUUGCUAAUUGGAGAGUUCAUCUGAACAUGCUAUAUCUGAAAUUAGCAAAAGUUUACUAUGUCUCUUUAUAAGGAACAGAGGAGGCUAAAAGAUGUUUUGAGUUAGUAUGUUUUCCCUACACAAUGAGCAAGUCGUGUAACUUCAGAAAAGAUAAAGCUAUAUUACCCUAAGGGGAAUGAAUACAAAAGAGGUGCCUGAGAAAAAGCCAAGCCUCCUGUUCCAACAGGAUGCAGACACAAACAAGUUCAUUUAUCAUUCAUACUGCACCUGAACCAAACUGCAGCCAGAUCCAAAGAGCACCUCCUAAGCAUUUGGCAUGUGAAACAUUUGGAUUAAUUCAUGAGGAUAACCUUAAUUCCAAUCCUAACCCCCUAAAUUACUACCUUCCCGCAACAAGCAGAACAGUGACUUUCAUCUGAUGCCCACAUAUCCCUUGAGACCUGAAGUCACAAAUAAUAUAACAAAUACCUAUGUGUAUACGCACAUUCAUUUUGUGACGCAUUCUUAUUCUUAAUGGCAACUUGCAAAAUGUACAAGAGUAAAUAUUUAAUCAAUGCAUUCAUGUUUAUACAAGGAGUAUCAUAAAUUAAUAACAACUCAUAAACUUCUUUUCAAAUAUAAAGUCAGGUUCCAUUAUGGGAUUUCUGCCAAAAGUACAAUAUGUGGUUCAGAAAAAAAAAAUGUGAAGUAUUAUUUGUCCUUUGGAGUUCCUUCCCCUAAUAAAUAUGACAACCACAUCUGAUUGUGAUGUGAAAUAAAAUGACACAAUUAUGAUAAUGUGUGGGAGAAAAAAAAUGGGACUGUAGGAGGAAUCUUGCAGUGUUCUCCUUGGCAUUUGUGAAUGGUUAUAAUUCAUGUUUGCUGGUUUAUACAUUUACAUAACUUGUUCUCAUUUAUGUAACUUAUUUAUGUAAGAGGCUGUACUGCCGCUGUGGCCUCUGUGUGCUGCAUAACUUCCCUCUGAAUCAGGAAGUCUAGGCAAAGUAGUCACUGGCACUGUCACAGGUCACUCUUCCAUCAUUCUCUGCUACCAAAAAGUUGCACGAUGAUGUGACUGCUAGUUGAAUUCAAAGGCGAGAAGAGUUAGUAUCCUUCUUCAUUUAUUUCCUAAAAUUUAGACAGGUCUCUGAGUCACCCAGCAGGCUGUGAUGGAGAAGAGGGAAUCCUGCUAAACAGCCACUAGCUGGGAGAAUAUAAUGGAGUGAAGAGUUCUCUUCUUUUCCUUCCCAUUACUUGCUUGUGUCAUUCUUUGCUAACAAAGUAGUAAAAUUAUGAGAUUUGUAUUCUGUUUCGGUUUUUUAGUGUUGUCUUCUAAAAUAGAUCAGUUAUGUAAGAGAGUAAGAAGAAAAGCGUAUCUGUUUCCUAAUUUGGAAAAUGCUUAUCACCAUCAUUGCCUGCUUAUCCCUGCCUCCCACUGCCACACCAUAAGACUUUUCCUGAUAUAGUUUGGUAAACUCUGAUUUAAGAGUAACAUAGCACAGUGCUUUUCUUGUAUACAUCUCAGUUGAAGAUGUGUAUUUGAACCUCUUUUUUUUUUUUUUGCUGUGGGUGAUUUUACCAUUUGUCGCUUUACGUUCUUAUCAUUAAAAAAGAAACUGAAUUUGUCAGUCCAAGCAAAAUAUGUCCCAUUUCUGAUUCAUUUCAGUUGAUAACGUCCUGUUCAAAGAGAGUAAACUAUAAAGUUUCAUAUAAACAGUACCUACCUAACAGCUUGCUUUUUUUUUAAUGACACAAUCUAGCUUUGUCACCAGGCUGCAAUGCAGUGACUCAAUCAUAGCUCACUGCAGCCUUGACCUCCUGGACUUAAGUGAUCCUCCCACCUCAGCCUUCCUGAGUAGCUGGGACUACAGGCACAUGCCUCUAUGCCCAGCAACUUGUUUUUGUUAACUCUUUGUAGAGAUGGGUCCCAUUAUGUUGCCCAGGCUGCUCAAACUCCUGGCCUCAAGCAAUUCCCCUGCUUCAACUUCCCAAAGCGCUGGGAUAAUCCACCAUGCCUGGUCCCCAGUAGCAUUUUUAUAUACAAUACAUAGAUGGAGGAGCUCUAGAGACCACCCUUUCAUACCUCUUUUUUUUUUUUUGAGACGGAGUUCCGCUCUUGUUACCCAGGCUGGAGUGCAAUGGCGCGAUCUCGGCUCACCGCAACCUCCGCCUCCUGGGUUCAGGCAGUUCUCCUGCCUCAGCCUCCCGAGUAGCUGGGAUUACAGGCACGCGCCACCAUGCCGAGCUAAUUUUUUGCAUUUUUAGUAGAGAUGGGGUUUCACCAUGUUGACCAGGAUGGUCUCGAUCUCUUGACCUCGUGAUCCACCCGCCUCAGCCUCCCAAAGUGCUGGGAUUACAGGCUUGAGCCACCGUGCCCAGCCACCUCUCAUUUUAUAUAUAUAUGAGAAAAUUGAGAGCUGAGAAGCUGCUAGUUUUGUAGAAGUCAUACCGGCCAGGGAAUCUGGACACCUGGUGCUGACGUAUUUAUGCCUCUAUGCUGGGGAAGAAGUCACCUGGUUUCCCUGAGCCUUGUUUGCUGUCUGUAGAAAGAGGGAACUGGAACUAUCCCUAAGGUGCCUUCUGCAGCUGGAGCCAAGCCCCAGGGCUUGGUUUGAAGGCAAUUAGGAGACAGAGUGUCUCCCAGACUGAGAAGCACAACAGUGUGAUACCUGCUGAAAAUGUAACAGUAGGUGGGGGCUGAGAAUAGAAGAGAAAGAUAUCAAGAAACACAUUUUCUUGGUGCACACCCAUCCCUGUUUAGAGAGAGGGAACCAGUCUCUGAGACCUGAACACCUGCAGUCACUGUACAGGGAUCCCCUAUUGCACUCACACCUUGCCCCUAAUAUAAAACUGUGGGAGGCUGAAAGAAAGCUGGGGGUGGAGGGGCAGGGGAGAGCUGAUUAUAUAACUUGGGCAUUUGUGAGAAAGUUUAUGUAAGAUGCUAAAAAUAGAAUAUAUGAUUCCUAUAAUAGCGUUCCAAGUAAAAAGUCCUAAUGAGGACAACCUACCUGAGUAGGUUAAAUAGAGCUGAUACUAAGUGCAAGUUUAAAGCAAGUUGCCUGCAGUGACUACCAUCUAACCAAGUACUGUUUACUGCUCAUUGCAAACAUAUUUUUUUGUUAUCCCUACAGGGUACACAAAGUGCGCAAGGGCCACUAUCCUUAUAAAGGGUGCUAUGCUUUAUUCUUAAUUUCUAAUACUCUGAAGGAUCUAGAAAUACUAAGUGUGCCUAUUUUUUUUUUGUAGUCAAAUUGAUUAAAUGAAUACAUUUCCUUGCAUCAAGAUGUUUAAAAAGUAGACAUAGGAUUAGUGAACAAAUUCUAAGAAUGUGCUACAUGUAUGAAUCCCCCGGUACUUUCCAUCCUCCUUCCUUGUUGCACCCCCUGCCACCACACCCUCGCCUUCAGCAGUUAUUAUCUGACAUAUUACAUACACAUUACUUGUCUCCAGCCUCCAGAAUGUACGCUCCUUGAGAUUUGGGAUUUCUGUACAUCUUGUUCACUGAUGUGUUAGUAGCACCUAGGCACCAAGAAGACACUAGAAAAUCAUUGUUAAAUUAGCCCACCCACAAAGAUCUUGCUCUGUUACCCAGGCUGGAGUGAAGUGGUAUGAUCAUAGCUCACUAUAGCCUCAACUUCCCAGGCUCAAUUGAUCCUCCUACCUCAGCCUCGCAAGCAGCUGGGCAUGAGCUGAAUCCUUUACAAUUUUUUGUAGAGAUGGGGUCUCACUAUGUUGCCCAGGUUGGCCUCAAACUUCUGGACUCAAGUGAUUCUCCCACCUCCCAUUCCCAAAGUUCUGUGAUUGCAGGUGUGGCCGUUGUGACCAUCCCCUUAGUAGUAUUUUAAUUUAUCCAUUAUUCCUCGGACUUGUUCAGAAGCCUUUUAUAUCUUGUUCACCUUUGUGAUAUUUAUUUGCUGUGAUCUGAAUAUUGGUGUCCUCCCAUAUGUUGGCAUCUCUAGAUGUGAUAAUAUUAAGAGGCAGUCAUUUGAGAGGUGAUUAGGUCAUGAGGGUGGAGCCCUCUUGAAUGUGAUUAGUACCUUUAUAAAAGAGUAUGAAGGAGCCUCCUGUUCCCUUCUUCCAUGUGGGUACACAGCCACCGGGCACCAUCUCUGAACAGAAAAUAGGCCCUCACCAAACAAAGAAUCUAUUGGUCCCUUCAUCUUGGACUUCUCAGUCUCCAGAACUGUUCCACCUCCUAAGGCCAUCACUCAGGGGAUCAGAUUUCAACGCAUGAAUUUUUUGGGGAACAAAAACCUUCAAUCCGUAACAGAGAAGAAGAAAAUAAAUUGUCCCAAUGUAUUAAUGGUGUGCUGGAGCCAG